UAGUAACUGCGAGUGAAGAGGGAAAAGCUCAAAUUUAAAAUCUGGCAGCUUUGCUGUCCGAGUUGUAAUUUAGAGAAGUGUUACCCGCGCUGGACCGUGUAUAAGUCUCCUGGAAUGGAGCGUCAUAGAGGGUGAGAAUCCCGUCUUUGACACGGACUACCAGGGCAUUGUGGUGCGCUCUCGAAGAGUCGAGUUGUUUGGGAAUGCAGCUCUAAAUGGGUGGUAAAUUCCAUCUAAAGCUAAAUAUUGGCGAGAGACCGAUAGCGAACAAGUACCGUGAGGGAAAGAUGAAAAGAACUUUGGAAAGAGAGUUAAACAGUACGUGAAAUUGCUGAAAGGGAAACGCUUGAAGUCAGUCGCGUUGGCCGGGGAUCAGCCUUGCUUUUGUGAGGUGUACUUCCUGGUUGACGGGUCAGCAUCAGUUUCGACCAUUGGAAAAAGGCUUGGGGAAUGUGGCUCCUCCGGGAGUGUUAUAGCCUCUUGUUGUAUACAGUGGUUGGGACUGAGGAACUCAGCACGCCGCAAGGCCGGGUUUCGACCACGUUCGUGCUUAGGAUGCUGGCAAAAUGGCUUUAAGCGACCCGUCUUGAAACACGGACCAAGGAGUCUAACAUGCUUGCGAGUGUUUGGGUGGAA
rnacentral:rRNA from 1 species